CGUGAAACGCCACUUCUAUGUGGACGACGGCCUUCGUUCUGCGUCGACCGAUGCCGAAGCCAUCAGCUUGUUGAGCAGAACACAGAUGUCACUAGCCGAGUCAAACCUCAGGCUCCACAAGUUUGCCUCCAACAGCCAGACAGUCCUGGAAGCCUUUCCAUCUGAAGACUGUGCUGCAGUUACAAAGGAUGUGGACUUAAGCGGAGAGGCUGCGUCCACUCAACGCAGUCUGGGUCUCCUGUGGGAGAUGGCAAGUGACACAUUCACUUUCUCUGUUGCAAACACAAUCAAGCCGUUCACUCGCCGUGGUGUCCUCUCCACGGUGAACAGUGUUUUUGACCCCUUGGGUUUUCUGGCCCCAGUCACAAUCCAAGGAAGGCUCCUCCUUCGGGAACUCACCGCUGAGCAGUCCGGGUGGGAUGUACCACUGCCUGAAGACAAAUUCAGCAAGUGGAAAGCUUGGCAAGAAUCACUUCAGGAGCUGAGACACCUUCAUGUACCACGGACAUACACAUCAGCUUCACUAGAAACGGCAGUGCGUACAGAGCUCUGUGUGUUUUCUGAUGCAUCUAUCAAAGCCAUCGGUGCUGUGGCGUAUUUGAAGGCCGUACAAGGAGAUGGACAAACUCACAUUGGGUUUGUCAUGGCCAAAUCAAAACUUGCACCUCAGUCUGAACCAACUAUUCCAAGGCUCGAACUCUGUGCGGCAGUCUUAGCAGUGGAAAUGGCAGACUUAAUCCAUGAUGAAUUGGAUUUGAAGCUGGAUUCCACAAAGUUCUAUACUGACAGCAAGGUGGUCCUCGGCUAUAUCCGUAAUGAAUCCAGACGAUUCUAUGUCUACGUCCAUAAUAGAGUUCAGCGCAUUCGCCAAACCACAAAACCUGAGCAAUGGCACUAUGUGCGCACAGAGGUUAAUCCUGCAGACCAUGCAUCAAGGUCUAUUCCUGCCUCACUCUUGGCACAGACUGCAUGGUUACAAGGCCCUGACUUCUUGCUCGACUCUCCCAACAAACCAGAUCCAGUUCAGUCCUUCGACCUGAUCAAACCAGAAUUGGACGUGGAUAUCCGUCCCCAAGUGAGGAGCUAUGCCACAAAGCUGCAAGAGAAAAGCCUCAGCACAGAACGCUUCCUAAGGUUCUCCAGCUUCAACUCUCUUGUCCGAGCUAUAGCACACUUAAUUCACAUUGUGAGGUCCUUUAAGCUCACUAAAGACAUGGACAAGUGUCAAGGGUGGCACAGGUGUGAUCUGUCUCGAACCCCAGAUGAACUAUCCCUAGCAAAGGAAGUCAUUAUUUCAGCUGUUCAGAGGAGAGCAUUUUCAAAGGAAUUUG
rnacentral:lncRNA from 1 species